rnacentral:rRNA from 1 species
AGGCUUAACACAUGCAAGUCGAGGGGUAGUUGGUUUCGGUACCAAGAGACCGGCGCACGGGUGCGUAAGCGUAUGCAAUCUACCUUUGCAGAGGGAUAGCCCAGAGAAAUUUGGAUUAAUACCUCAUAGUAUAGUACUUUGGCAUCAAGGAACUAUUAAAGUCACAACGGCAAAAGAUGAGCAUGCGUCCCAUUAGCUAGUUGGUAAGGUAACGGCUUACCAAGGCUACGAUGGGUAGGGGUCCUGAGAGGGAGAUCCCCCCACACUGGUACUGAGACACGGACCAGACUCCUACGGGAGGCAGCAGUGAGGAAUAUUGGACAAUGGGCGCAAGCCUGAUCCAGCCAUGCCGCGUGCAGGAUGACGGUCCUAUGGAUUGUAAACUGCUUUUAUACAGGAAGAAACACUCCGACGUGUCGGAGCUUGACGGUACUGUAAGAAUAAGGAUCGGCUAACUCCGUG